GUUUAUAAGAUGCCAUAAAAAUCAGUCAAGCAUACCAGUGUUUAUUUAUUGGUGUUAUUCAAAAUGGCAUCCAGAGAAAAACAGGUUCCAGAAGUGGUAGUAGAGGACGAAUUUGAGAGCCCGGAUAAACCUCUGACGAAAUCUGAACGUGUUCUCUUUGGAAUUCUUGUGUUCUUUAUGUACAGUAUUUUCAUCGUGGCAGUGAGCCUUACAGCACAUUACAACCAAUAAGCAACGUCAUUGUUUCUGGACGAAAAAACCCCCAAAAUUACUGAUUAUGGUGGAGGCUAUUUUGAUGCUAAAUGGAAGAAAUGGGAAAUAAUUAUAAAUAAUUAUCCGACAAUAUUAACAUUCAGAAUAGAACUUGAACAACUAUAACAUUUUUGUACAUAGGCACAAUUUUUAUUCAUUUGUGAAAUAAAACUUAUUUAUACAGA